GACGAACGCUGGCGGCGUGCUUAACACAUGCAAGUCGAACGGAAAGGCCCUGCUUUUGUGGGGUGCUCGAGUGGCGAACGGGUGAGUAACACGUGAGUAACCUGCCCUUGACUUUGGGAUAACUUCAGGAAACUGGGGCUAAUACCGGAUAGGAGCUCCUGCUGCAUGGUGGGGGUUGGAAAGUUUCGGCGGUUGGGGAUGGACUCGGGGCUUAUCAGCUUGUUGGUGGGGUAGUGGCUUACCAAGGCUUGGACGGGUAGCCGGCCUGAGAGGGUGACCGGCCACAUUGGGACUGGGAUACGGCCCAGACUCCUACGGGGGGCAGCAGUGGGGAAUAUUGCACAAUGGGCGGAAGCCUGAUGCAGCAACUCCGCGUGCGGGAUGACGGCCUUCGGGUUGUAAGCGGAUUUCGCCUGUGACGAAGCGUGAGUGACGGUAAUGGGUAAAGAAGCACCGGCUAACUACGU
rnacentral:rRNA from 1 species